AUUUUUUAGAGGAUGACGUCAACUGCGGGGACAUUUGCAGUGAAGAGUACUGGGAUAUUGGAGAUGCAACUUAUGAAUGUGAAAAUUGUGGGGCAUAUUUUUGGAACGAAGAAAGAAUCAACAAGCGUUAUAAAAAACAAAGACCAGAGUUCUCUCUGUGUUGCGGUCGUGGAAAGAUAAAGCUGCCGAAUCCAACUGAGCCUCCUCAAAUUUUAAAGCAACUGCUGUUCGGAUCGGGUUAG